GAGAACAGAAGACUAUUAUUCCAAAGGGUAUUUGAGACUGACUGAAUCAGGUCUGGAACAUUAUUGAAAUGAUCAUUUGCUCCAGAAGAAGCUGGUUGCCAUGUCUUGAGGACAGUAAACCCUCUGGGGAGGUUCCUGUGGUAAGGAACAAGGGCUCCUGGCAAUAGCCUCUGAGUGAGCCACCUUGAAAAUGGAUUGUCCAGCCCCAGUCAAGCUUUCAGAUGACUGUAGCUCCUGCCAAUGUCUUCACCACAACCUCAUGAGAUCCCAAGCUACAACCACUCAGAACUUCAUCUUUUGGGAAGCACCAGGGAGAGCUGCCUGUGCCUGGCAGAAGCUGCCCAUGCCCCACUGAUACCCCACAGUACUUCCUGUUCUGCUUAGUACUCCUGCUUCUUUCUACAAACAACUGUGAUUCUCUACCUGGGAGCUUCCUCUGGCCACAGGAGCCUGCUCACCUGAUUGGGACACCCUAGCAGUACUGGCUCAUAGAUGGAAGGGACUUGCCUUGUCGCUGAUGAGACUUUCGACUUGGACUUUUGAGUCAAUGCUGGAAUGAUUCCCAUAAUCCCCACGUGUCGUGGGGUGGAGCCGGUGGAGAUAAUUGAAUCAUGGGAACACUUUCCCCCAUGCUGUUAUUGUGAUUGUGAAUUCUCACGAGAUCUGAUGGUUGUAUAAACGCCUUCCCUCUUCGCUGGGCACUCAUUUUUCUCCUUCCUGCCACCAUGUGAAGAAGGAUAUGCUUGCUUCUUGUGCCAUGAUUACAAGAACACACUCAGAAAUUUUCUCAACACAGUUUCUAUGCAGAGAAGAGAUGUGGGACAGAUUUGAACUGCUGUCAUAUUUGUAUGAACCCAAGACAUUUUCCAAGACCAAGAGGGAUAAAGACAGCAAUUUCUAUGACUGGCAUUUUACGUGCAUGCACUGUUUCCAAGUGUUCUUGUGUUCUGUGCCUUAAACAUUCUGUGUUGCAACUUUAUGAAUUGAAUUAAAGAUAAUCCCAAGCCCCCAAUUGUCUCAAAAAGUGAAAAAGUAAAUGUUAUAGAAAGAAAAGCGGGAAAAACUUUAAGCAUGAAAUAAAAGAUGGGUUGUGAUAAAAGAGGACUGAAGAAGGAAAAGGAAUGAAAGGUUCUGCCAUCCUUCAUGGCAGCCCACUCCACUUGGUAUGAGAUACUGCUCCCUUGGCUGAAAGUUAACUGCUGUACUCCCUCCACUUUCUAUAAAUGACUCCCUGUGCCUUUCCUUCACCACACAACUCACACUCUCUUCCUUCCUAGUGAGUCCACUAAGGCUUCACUGCAUUAUUACAUUUAUUUCAUUUAGGAAAAACUGACUUUAUUUUCCUUCAAAUUGUUUUUUAUUGUUUAUAUGAGCUUGGUUUUAUUGUCAUUCUAUUUUUCUCCAUGAAAAUAGAGAAAAAUAGGGUCGAAAGGUUAGGUUGGGUGGAAAGGAAUUAUAUUUUUUCUCACUAAAAUUGAUGUAAAUAUCGUUUUCAAUUGAAUGAUUUUACACAGUGGCACAGUUUCAGGUAUGUUGCUAAGCAGGAAAGUUGUUAACCAAAGCAUGAAUGUAUUAAGGAGAUGUAUGCAGAAUGACAUGCAAGGUUAUCUAUGAUUGCUGAGUGAGAAAGAGCAAGUUGCUGAGUAUUAUAUAAGUAUG
ensembl:lncRNA STXBP5-AS1 STXBP5 antisense RNA 1